rnacentral:rRNA from 1 species
GAUGAACGCUGGCGGCGUGCCUAAUACAUGCAAGUCGAGCGAACGGACGAGAAGCUUGCUUCUCUGAUGUUAGCGGCGGACGGGUGAGUAACACGUGGAUAACCUACCUAUAAGACUGGGAUAACUUCGGGAAACUGGAGCUAAUACCGGAUAAUAUUUUGAACCGCAUGGUUCAAAAGUGAAAGACGGUCUUGCUGUCACUUAUAGAUGGAUCCGCGCUGCAUUAGCUAGUUGGUACGGUAACGGCUUACCAAGGCAACGAUGCGUAGCCGACCUGAGAGGGUGAUCGGCCACACUGGAACUGAGACACGGUCCAGACUCCUACGGGAGGCAGCAGUAGGGAAUCUUCCGCAAUGGGCGAAAGCCUGACGGAGCAACGCCGCGUGAGUGAUGAAGGUCUUCGGAUCGUAAAACUCUGUUAUUAGGGAAGAACAUAUGUGUAAGUAACCGUGCACAGCUUGACGGUACCUAAUCAGAAAGCCACGGCUAACUACGUG